AGUCGAACGCUUCUUUCCUCCCGAGUGCUUGCACUCAAUUGGAAAGAGGAGUGGCGGACGGGUGAGUAACACGUGGGUAACCUACCCAUCAGAGGGGGAUAACACUUGGAAACAGGUGCUAAUACCGCAUAACAGUUUAUGCCGCAUGGCAUAAGAGUAAAAGGCGCUUUCGGGUGUCGCUGAUGGAUGGACCCGCGGUGCAUUAGCUAGUUGGUGAGGUAACGGCUCACCAAGGCCACGAUGCAUAGCCGACCUGAGAGGGUGAUCGGCCACACUGGGACUGAGACACGGCCCAGACUCCUACGGGAGGCAGCAGUAGGGAAUCUUCGGCAAUGGACGAAAGUCUGACCGAGCAACGCCGCGUGAGUGAAGAAGGUUUUCGGAUCGUAAAACUCUGUUGUUAGAGAAGAACAAGGACGUUAGUAACUGAACGUCCCCUGACGGUAUCUAACCAGAAAGUCACGGCUAACUACGUGCCAGCAGCCGCGGUAAUACGUAGGUGGCAAGCGUUGUCCGGAUUUAUUGGGCGUAAAGCGAGCGCAGGCGGUUUCUUAAGUCUGAUGUGAAAGCCCCCGGCUCAACCGGGGAGGGUCAUUGGAAACUGGGAGACUUGAGUGCAGAAGAGGAGAGUGGAAUUCCAUGUGUAGCGGUGAAAUGCGUAGAUAUAUGGAGGAACACCAGUGGCGAAGGCGGCUCUCUGGUCUGUAACUGACGC
rnacentral:rRNA from 1 species